UGGGAUUAAUUGAUGAACACCGGCUUUUUGGAGGCGAUCUUUCACAGGGAACCCUUAACACCACAGGAAACCCGUAAGAACGUCAAGGAAGUAUACUAGCUUUUGCUAUCAGAAACUUGUAUCAAAUUCCGGAUAUCACUUGGAGGUAUGAUAAUAUUAUUGAGGUAUACAGUGAACAUGAACUCUAUGCAACCUAAAACAGUUUGUAAUCAAUUUGCCUUAAUAAAAUAGGCGUGUGAGUUUGCUUCUAAGUUUUUUUUUAUAUCACAAAUAAUGCUGAAUGAAAUCUAUUAGUUUUUUUUAGAGAUGCUGACGCUCCUGACAACUAGGGAUGAGUAAAAUCUACCUAGUUUGUCUGUAGAGGUCCUGACAUCCCUGACACCAUCCUGUAAAAGAAUGCAAUGAGGUGUUGUCAGUAGUGGCUGGUAGCGCUUGUUAACAUACAAAGUUGCUAAAAAGAAGAUACUUCAAGGCAACUGCCUCUUCAUCAGUGUGUACUUGAAACUCAUUUAGCAUCGAAAAUCUAGAAUCAUACAAUGACACUCACAACUAAUAAAAGUACCAAGUUAUUCUCAGGAACUAGUUCGCAGAGGUCGGCAUAACAAUACGAGACCUCUCUACUUCGCUACAACCCCAGUGGUGUAGCCAGGAUUUUCAACGGUUUGGGGCCCAAAAGGCCUUCUCAAGGCAUUUUCUCCUGUAUUUUAGAUAAUGUCUCAUACAUUUACUGUAUUUUUGGCUGCUACAAGGGGGGAUGAGCUGGCCCCCUGGGCCACCCCCUGAACCCCCUCCCUCUCCGCCAUUUUGAUUAAUUGUUAUUCAAAGGUUAAAAAUUAUCCGGUGAAAUGUGCUUAUCAAAAUAUAUUUUGUUGUUAAAGUCCAUACUAAAAGCACUCUCACCGUAAAUUAUGUGGGAAUAUGUUCACUUCCAGGCAGCAUUCUCACUUCCGGUUCUCACUCUAGAGGCCUGUUUCGGUUUUUCCUUGUCAUCUUUUGUUCAUAAACUAGUUCAAUAACCUUGACAUUUGGUACAGGUAUUUACUUUGACCCAGUCCUACAAUUAGAUGCUGCUUGUUACCAAGCUGCAUCCCCAGGGGGGAGAGUAGUAACAUAUCGUUACACUAUAUAAACAUGUAAUAAGUAUCGUUUAGCUGUUUUUCGUUUCUUUUAAUGCAUUACUGUUAGAGAAAUCACUGUUUUUUGAAAAUGACAGAAUUGCCCCUCCCUCCCCCCCUGAGUCACAGAUUUUUGGCACCCCCCUGAAAAAGUUACUUGACCUAAGGAACAUAUGUGCCAAGUUUGGUGCUUCUACUAAAAUUGAACAAAACAGCCAUUUUUUUAGCGCUAAGCCACCCUACUAAUUAUUGUGUUUGUGUGGGGGAGGGGGGGUGGAAUUAGACAUGCCCAUAAAGGGUCAGGAGAACAGUCGAUUUCAAGCCCAUUUCUCAGGGGUGUAAAUAAUAUUGUAUAGGGGGUCUGGGAGCAUACCCCUCUGUGAAUAUUUUGCCAUUCUCAAAUAUAUGAAAUGCUAAUUAUUGUUCAAACCUUUAAUAGAAAACAGCAUCAUAAGCUCCUUUCAAACUGAAAUAUUAUUUAAACAUCUUUUCAUACCACCAAUGUGAAAAGUUAUCAGGGGGGACAUUGACAUGAAUCGGCAUUUGUAAAUGCAGUACCAUAUCAUCACUGCAAACCUACUAUCCUAAGUUGAGUAAGUUAAGAUAUGAAAUGAGAGAUGUGACUGUUAGACAGUAAGCAUGCAACUGAUACCAUACAUAGAGUAAAGGGGGGGGGGGAAUAGAUUCGCGGAUCGGCGGAUUCGGCCCCAAAAUGCUCAUGGAUUAUGGAUUUAGAUGAUUAUUUCAGCGGAUUGGCGGAUUUUGGAAAUACGGCGGAUCACGGAUCUGUUGACAAUUUGGGCAAGGAUUUCGGAUUUUGACUUGCUUUGACAGUCGAAUUUCGGAUUUUUAAUGAACUUCAAUCAACGCUAUUGUUUAUCCGUCAAACCAUGCGGAUCUAAAAAUAUCUGCGGAUCCACGGAUUUGCCCCGAAAAUGUUGCGGAUCGGCGGAUUUACAUACCCCUAUUCACCCCCCCCCCCCCCCAGUAAAUGACUGCCACCAAGGAGGAGGGUGGGCGCAAAAAUGAAAAACGUUCCUCAACAAGACUUCUGCCAACUGACCGAAAAGAAACUUUGAGUGCAUUAAAUACACCGAGAACAUAGUUAAGCAUCUUAAAUCCCCCCAUACAUUCCUUAACUAUUGACAGUAGCCUUGGGCUACGUGUGACAAAACGGGAUUUUAAUAUUUACAGAGUAAUUACACAUUUCAGAAUUACUUACAACACCAAACACGACAUUGGAAUGAUUUUCAUACCUUUCAAAAACUAAUUACUGGAAACUCUUGCCAUUUUCGAUUCGGCUCCUUUUCAUUUGGAGACGAAUUUUGCAGCUUUUCACGCCGUUGUUCUGUAGUUUCUUUUGCCUUUUCGUUAAAAUUUUCGCAGAACCCUGAAAAACCUUCCCUUUUUUGGAUAGAUUGAUUUGUACACUCGAAAACAGCGCAAAUAUAUGACAUUUUAACAGGUGCACGGCACUUGAAUUGCACUUGUUGUACGAAAUGUAGACAACCAUCUUCUUCGCGUGUCUGUUUUGACCACCACUUCAACUUUGGCAUAUCUAAUGAGGCAGAUGUGACCUCAUUUGCAAUCCAAGAAUUGUCAGGGUGUCAGGACCUGACACACGAAGCCACGGGAAUUUCGUUCCCUAAAUCGUGCACCAUAUGGAAGAGUAAGGAUAACACAGCUGUGGUCUUAUCAUUGUCCAUCUAUUUCCUAUAUAUAUUCUUUUAUAAAGGGUGUAAUAGUAUAGUUAUCUUUUUUUUUUUGUUGUUGAUGAUAUGAAUGGGAAAAAAUCUCUUUUGGACCUAGUAAAUGAAUAAAUAAUUCUGUAAGAUACGUAUUCAGCGUAACUCGCUGAAUUUGGUAUGUAUGGCCACAGGUAGCCCAGGCUCUGUCAAUGAGUAAUUUGAACCCGCCGGCUCAUUGACCGUUAAUAGAGAGAUCAUAUGGAGUUGUUACUUUUUUAAUAGACGGCAUCAAGUACUCUAUCACAUUGGAUUGGAUUUAUUACAUUUUUAUGGAGGAAUACUACUUGCAUAAAGUAACAGCUAUAUGUUCUCUCUAUUAACGGUCAAUGAGGUCGGUUCAAAUUAUUCAUUGACAGAGCCUGGGCUAACUGUGAUGUAACCACGAUUUAAAACAUCAGGUUUGGCAGGAAGGCUGGAGUGGAGUGGAGUGGAGUGGAGUUGGGGAUCCUACUUUUUAAAUGUUCUUCACUGACAGUACCCCAGGUAGCUUGUUAACAUAUUUUUCUGGGGGUCAGACAAGUUUAUACAGAAUAAUUACUUUUUUCAUCUUCAUUGUUGUCUAUUAUUAUAAUUAUUGUUGUUGUUCUUAUUGUUGAUGUUAUUAUAUGUGAACAAUGAAUUCAAAAUCUAGUGUCAUUCCAUAAUGACAAACCCAAACCC